rnacentral:lncRNA from 1 species
CAUGACACUGAUGGGAGGUGAGAGAACCAAUAAGCAAUGGGGCAUAUCGUCUUGUAUCGUACCAUAGAUUGGCAUGGCAUGGCAUGCGCCUGGGGCUCAACACAGAUGGUCAUAGCCACAUUAUGCAUGGUAUAUUCAUGAGUUUCUUCUUCACAAGACAACAGGAUGGUCUACUCGUAUAUACAGCCUGGAUCCAUAUCCAGACAACGUUGGAAGAAAAAGAUGACCCUAAAGGUCGUAUGUUUCUUUUUUAUAGACCAUUAUUGUUGUGACAGAAUGGAAAGGAAAUCAGAGAGAAUGAGAGCAAGAGGGGAUGAGUUCCCUGCUGAACAGCAGCAUGAGAGAUUCUGGGAAGACUCUAUGUCUUGAUGUGGGGUCCACUAGCGGCAUCCUGCUGUGGUGCAUGCUAUGGUAUAGUUUCCAUUUGAGUGUGUUCUUCACGUUUGCAUGCAUGUGUGCAUAGGAGCAGGUGCACGUGUAGGCAUGGGUAUGCAGAGGCCAGAGAUAAAUUAUUCUUCAACAGUUCACCACCUCCCUUUUUUUCUGUUUUGAGACCCAUCUCUCACUAACCAGGAGCUCACGGAUUUAGCUAGACCCGCUGGCCAGUGGGUCUCAGGCAUGUGAUGGCUCCACCUCCAGCCCAGGAGCUGUGUGCCACUGUGCCCAGCUGUUUGCAUGAGCGCUUGGCA